GGCAAGUAGACGAGCAACCUGAGCGGACAAGUAGAGGAAGAGAAUAAUGCAAUGAGUGAAAGGAUGUCAGUAUCAUAGGGGAGAGUAAGCGAUAUCACUCAGGCCAAAGUUAAACAGUAAAGAUCUUGGUACACUGCAACCUCCGCCUCCUGGGUUCAAGCAUUUCUCCUGUCUCAGCCUCCUGAGUAGCUGGGGUUACAGGGGUGCGCCACCAGGCGCAGCUAAUUUUUGUAUUUUUAGUAGAAACAGGGUUUUGCCAUGUCGGCCAGGCUGGUAUCAAACUCCUGACCUCAGAUGAUCCGCCCACCUCAGCCUCCCAGAGUGCUAGGAUUACAGGUGUGAGCCACCGUGCCUGGUCUAUAGCAUGUAAAAAAAGAAACAAUGAUUCCAUGUCCUUUGCUUUGUUUUCUUUUGUUUUGUUUUGUUUUUGAGGCAGAGUCUCACUCUGUGGCCCAGGCUGGAGUGCAGUAGCACAAUCUCAGCUCACUGCAACCUCCGCCUCUCAAUGUUUGCUUUCAUCUAUAUUUGGCUUGUGUCUUU
rnacentral:lncRNA from 1 species